rnacentral:rRNA from 1 species
AGUGAACGCUGGCGGUAGGCCUAACACAUGCAAGUCGAACGGCAGCACAGUAAGAGCUUGCUCUUACGGGUGGCGAGUGGCGGACGGGUGAGGAAUACAUCGGAAUCUACUUUUUCGUGGGGGAUAACGUAGGGAAACUUACGCUAAUACCGCAUACGACCUACGGGUGAAAGCAGGGGAUCUUCGGACCUUGCGCGAUUGAAUGAGCCGAUGUCGGAUUAGCUAGUUGGCGGGGUAAAGGCCCACCAAGGCGACGAUCCGUAGCUGGUCUGAGAGGAUGUUCAGCCACACUGUAACUGAGCCACUGUCCAGACUCCUACGCGAGGCAGCAGUCGGGAAUAUUGGACAAUGUGCGCAAGCCUGAUCCAGCCAUACCGCGUGGGUGGAGAAGGCCUUCGGUUUGUAAAGCCCUUUUGUUGGGAAAGAAAGGCAGCAGGUUAAUACCCCGCUGUUCUGACGGUACCCAAAGAAUAAGCACCGGCUACCUUCGUG